rnacentral:rRNA from 1 species
AUGCGUCCAAUGGCCAUGGCGUCCUCUCUCCUCCUUGGCCCCCACCCUAAAACCAAGGCGGAAACCCCUCUUCCCUCCUGCCUGUGGCCUUGCCCCUCUCCUCCACCAAGGCGGCUCCCUCUCUCCAGAUCCACCAAGGACGGCCAGCAUCCUCUAGGGCAGAUAACUUUUUCUCCUAUUGAGAAUCAGAUUUUAGACAGAUUGCCUGUGCUCUCAAUGCGCAUUAGUUUGUACCCCAAGUUUGUUUCUGCACAUGGACGUAUGCAGGAUCAAAUCUUGUGCCAGCUUGUUUAUGCAACGCUGCUCUGA